CUCUCUGUAGCUCAGUUGGUUAGGGCGCUGCACCGGAAUCGCAGGGUUGCAGGUUCAAUAAGAAUUCCUGCCAGAGGGC